AGGGCUGCAGCUCAGUGGCAGAGCUUCUGUUUUGCAUGGGGAAGAUCCUGGGUUCAACUCCCAGCACCUCCA